ensembl:miRNA gga-mir-1748 gga-mir-1748
GCAGUGCCCUGCUCGGCUGCACCAGGCAGCCCCAGCAGUCACCCUGGCACUGAGGUCUGGGUGCAGCUGAGUGUGGCCUGC